CUGCUGAGCAGCAGGUGCUUCCCCAGGCACUGGCGCUGCCACAGAGACUUCAGAUGCCCUCCAGCACCUUCUGCGGGUGUGACAGAGGCCUGGGUUGUCUCUGCUGAUCGCCACCAGGUGUUAAGGCUCUUGCCUCGUGGCCACAUUCCAUAGUGUCCACUCUUAAGUCGCUGACCACAGGUAAUCAUGCAUAAAGCACAAGAAGGCUUUAAUCAAGGCGUAAUGUUCAAUAAGACAAAUAUCUAGUCACCUAUGCUGCUUAUUCCUAACCGUAUUCUUCUUUCUGUUCUAUUUAUUCAACAGGAACUGGCUGAGGCUUCAGUCUCCUGCUCGGGCGCUUACACUUUCCACCCACAGUCUCAGGUUUUUACACAGCUACGACUUUAAUUCCAUGGAAGCCAGGAAAUAUGGAAGAUCACUUGAGUAUGCGUUAAGCACUGUCUUUGGCACAAAUGCUUCAUGGGGUGGAAAAAUACACGGACUAAGUGAGUAGACUCACCAUUUAUCUACUUAAAUAGGGGUGGUAAUAAAAUUAGAUAUUUCUUCUAUUUAAUUUUUAUUUCUUUGUCCUGGUACAGAAAAAUUUGUUUUCAAAUG
rnacentral:lncRNA from 1 species